rnacentral:rRNA from 1 species
AGUUUGAUCAUGGCUCAGGAUUAACGCUAGCGGUGUGCCUAAGGUAUGCAAGUCGAACGGUUAAUAUUCGGUAGCAAUACUGGAUAUUGAUAGUGGCAGACGGCUGAGUAACACGUGGGAAUCUACCCAGAACUCGAGUAUAGCUCACCGAAAGGUGGGGUAAUCCUCGAUAGUCCCGCAAGGGUAAAGCUUUUGUGGUUCUGGAUGAGCCCGCGUCCUAUCAGAUUGUUGGUGAGGUAAUGGCUUACCAAGUCUAUGACGGGUAGCUGGUCUUAGAGGAUGACCAGCCAGACUGGGACUGUGAUACGGCCCAGACUCCUACGGGAGGCAGCAACUAGGAAUCGUGCGCAAUGGGCGAAAGCCUGACGCCGCGACACCGCGUGGAGGAUGAAGAUUUUAGGAUCGUAAACUCCUUUUAUCGGGGAACAAGUUCUGAGUGUACCCGACGAAUAAGUGCCUGCAAACCACGUGCCAGAAGCAUCGGUAAUACGUGGGGCACAAGCGUUAUCCGGAUUUACUGGGCGUAAAGAGAUGCGUAGGCGUCCUAAUAAGUUUUGUGUUAAAGCCUGAUGCUUAACAUCAGAAUCGCAUGAAAAACUAUUAGGAUUGAGUUAGGUAGAGAAGAGGGGAAUUCCUGGUG